rnacentral:rRNA from 1 species
UUCGCCUUGUGCCAGCAGCCGCGGUAAUUCCAGUUCCAAUAGCGUAUAUUAAAGUUGUUGUGGUUAAAAAGCUCGUAGUUGAACCUUGGGCCUGGCUGGCCGGUCCGCCUCACCGCGUGCACUGGUCCGGCCGGGCCUUUCCCUCUGUGGAACCCCAUACCCUUCACUGGGCGUGGCGGGGAAACAGGACAUUUACUUUGAAAAAAUUAGAGUGCUCCAGGCAGGCCUAUGCUCGAAUACAUUAGCAUGGAAUAAUAAAAUAGGACGCGCGGUUCUAUUUUGUUGGUUUAUAGGACCGCCGUAAUGAUUAAUAGGGACAGUCGGGGGCAUCAGUAUUCAACUGUCAGAGGUGAAAUUCUUGGAUCAGUUGAAGACUAACUACUGCGAAAGCAUUUGCCAAGGAUGUUUUCAUUAAUCAGGAACGAAAGUUAGGGGAUCGAAGACGAUCAGAUACCGUCGUAGUCUUAACCAUAAACUAUGCCGACUAGGGAUCGGACGGUGUUAUUCAUGACCCGUUCGGCACCUUACGAGAAAUCAAAGUGCUUGGGCUCCAGGGGGAGUAUGGUCGCAAGGCUGAAACUUAAAGAAAUUGACGGAAGGGCACCACCAGGGGUGAAGCCUGCGGCUUAAUUUGACUCAACACGGGGAAACUCACCAGGUCCAGACACAAUAAGGAUUGACAGAUUGAGAGCUCUUUCUUGAUUUUUGUGGGUGGGGGUGCAUGGCCGUUCUUAGUUGGGUGGGGUGACUUUGUCUUGCUUAAUUUGCGAUAACGAACGGAGACCUUAAACUGGCUUAAAUAAGCCUCGAU